rnacentral:rRNA from 1 species
UGUAUAAUGGGUCAGCGACUUAUAUUCUGUAGCAAGGUUAACCGAAUAGGGGAGCCGAAGGGAAACCGAGUCUUAACUGGGCGUUAAGUUGCAGGGUAUAGACCCGAAACCCGGUGAUCUAGCCAUGGGCAGGUUGAAGGUUGGGUAACACUAACUGGAGGACCGAACCGACUAAUGUUGAAAAAUUAGCGGAUGACUUGUGGCUGGGGGUGAAAGGCCAAUCAAACCGGGAGAUAGCUGGUUCUCCCCGAAAGCUAUUUAGGUAGCGCCUCGUGAACUCAUCUCCGGGGGUAGAGCACUGUUUCGGCAAGGGGGUCAUCCCGACUUACCAACCCGAUGCAAACUGCGAAUACCGGAGAAUGUUAUCACGGGAGACACACGGCGGGUGCUAACGUCCGUCGUGAAGAGGGAAACAACCCAGACCGCCAGCUAAGGUCCCAAAGUCAUGGUUAAGUGGGAAACGAUGUGGGAAGGCCCAGACAGCCAGGAUGUUGGCUUAGAAGCAGCCAUCAUUUAAAGAAAGCGUAAUAGCUCACUGGUCGAGUCGGCCUGCGCGGAAGAUGUAACGGGGCUAAACCAUG